UACGGGGGGAGCAAGCGUUGUUCGGAUUUACUGGGCGUAAAGGGCGCGUAGGCGGUAGCACAAGUCAGUUGUGAAAUCUCCGGGCUUAACUCGGAAAGGUCAACUGAUACUGUGCGACUAGAGUGCAGAAGGGGCAACUGGAAUUCUCGGUGUAGCGGUGAAAUGCGUAGAUAUCGAGAGGAACACCCGCGGCGAAGGCGGGUUGCUGGGCUGACACUGACGCUGAGGCGCGAAAGCCAGGGGAGCGAACGGG
rnacentral:rRNA from 1 species